GGCUUCAUAGCUCAGUUGGCAGAGCAUCGCACUGGUAACGCGGAGGUCAUGGGUUCAAAAUUCUGUUGAAGGCCA
rnacentral:tRNA from 1 species